UGGCUCAGUGGUAGAGUGCUUGCCUUGCAUGCAUGAGGCCAUGGGUUCGAUUCCUUA
rnacentral:tRNA from 1 species